rnacentral:tRNA from 1 species
GCCCGGGUGGCGGAACUGGUAGACGCGCCAGACUCAAAAUCUGGUUCUCGCAAGGGAGUGCUGGUUCGAUUCCAGUCUCGGGCA